rnacentral:rRNA from 1 species
AACGUAGGACGCAAGCGUUAUCCGGAGUUACUGGGCGUAAAGCGCGCGCAGGCGGUCCUUUAAGUCUGAUGUGAAAGCCCACGGCUCAACCGUGGAGGGUCAUUGGAAACUGGGGGACUUGAGUACAGAAGAGAAGAGUGGAAUUCCACGUGUAGCGGUGAAAUGCGUAGAGAUGUGGAGGAACACCAGUGGCGAAGGCGACUCUUUGGUCUGUAACUGACGCUGAGGCGCGAAAGCGUGGGGAGCAAACAGG